rnacentral:rRNA from 1 species
GAGGAAAGUGGGGGACCUUCGGGCCUUACGCUGAUGGAGCGGCUGAUGUCGGAUUAGCUUGUUGGUAGGGUAAAGGCCUACCAAGGCGACGAUCCGUAGCUGGUCUGAGAGGACGACCAGCCACACUGGAACUGAGACACGGUCCAGACUCCUACGGGAGGCAGCAGUGGGGAAUUUUGGACAAUGGGGGCAACCCUGAUCCAGCCAUGCCGCGUGCGGGAAGAAGGCCUUCGGGUUGUAAACCGCUUUCAGACGGAAAGAAACAGUGCAAGCUAAUACCUUGUACGAAUGACGGUACCGUCAGAAGAAGCACCGGCUAACUACGUGCCAGCAGCCGCGGUAAUACGUAGGGUGCGAGCGUUAAUCGGAAUUACUGGGCGUAAAGAGUGCGCAGGCGGCUCUCUAAGACAGGUGUGAAAUCCCCGGGCUUAACCUGGGAAUGGCGCUUGUGACUGGAGAGCUAGAGUGUGGCAGAGGGGAAUGGAAUUCCUGGUGUAGCAGUGAAAUGCGUAGAUAUCAGGAGGAACACCGAUGGCGAAGGCAGUUCCCUGGGCCAACACUGACGCUCAUGCACGAAAGCGUGGGGAGCAAACAGGAUUAGAUACCCUGGUAGUCCACGCCCUAAACGAUGUCAACUAGUUGUUGGGGAAGGAGACUUCUUUAGUAACGUAGCUAACGCGUGAAGUUGACCGCCUGGGGAGUACGGCCGCAAGGUUAAAACUCAAAGGAAUUGACGGGGACCCGCACAAGCGGUGGAUGAUGUGGAUUAAUUCGAUGCAACGCGAAAAACCUUACCUACCCUUGACAUGUGAGGAACUUGUGAGAGAUCACUUGGUGCCCGAAAGGGAACCUCAACACAGGUGCUGCAUGGCUGUCGUCAGCUCGUGUCGUGAGAUGUUGGGUUAAGUCCCGCAACGAGCGCAACCCUUGUCAUUAGUUGCUACAUUUAGUUGAGCACUCUAAUGAGACUGCCGGUGACAAACCGGAGGAAGGUGGGGAUGACGUCAAGUCCUCAUGGCCCUUAUGGGUAGGGCUUCACACGUCAUACAAUGGCGCGUACAGAGGGUUGCCAACCCGCAAGGGGGAGCUAAUCCCAGAAAGCGCGUCGUAGUCCGGAUUGUUCUCUGCAACUCGAGAACAUGAAGUCGGAAUCGCUAGUAAUCGCGGAUCAGCAUGUCGCGGUGAAUACGUUCCCGGGUCUUGUACACACCGCCCGUCACACCAUGGGAGUAGGUUUCACCAGAAGUAGCUAGCCCAACCGUAAGGAGGGC